UCACAGGCAUCAGGAGCAUUGAGUUCCUAAAAUACCUCGGCCAGUGUCAAACAGGAAUUGGCCUCGGAAAAAAUACGGUCCAUCAUGGCCUACCAAGGAGAUUUUCAAACUCCCAAGCGAUAUGUUAGACCAAAGACAGGAUGAGGGGAGAACUAUUACCACCUAUUUGUGUUAUGGUACCAGUGGUGUGACCGGCUCUAAAUUCCUGGCUUGUUCUGAUGAAAAAUGGCAGAAGGGGCACUGGAAUGUAAUCAAAUCUGCCAUUGUACUGAGGAUUGACCUGCAAUACAUGGAAAACAUGUAACAUAACUGCAAAGCCAACCUGGAAGGGAAAAUAAGUACAAGAUGGAAACAAAGUGGAACAACAUGUUCAGUGGAACAACUUGAUAUUUGAUGACUUAGAUAUUUGAUGACUUACAUACUGAUGUGAAGUUGCAGAUAAAAGUCAAGUGUUGGCCAGUAAAUUAUACAAAAAAUCAUUAAACCCUCGAUGCCUGAAUCAAUACAAUCUGAAGCUGGACAUUUACUUUACAACCUAGAUAGAGCCAGACUCCUUAAUUAUGCUUGGAAGUGCUACUCAGUGGUAACCCUCUUGCAGUCAACUUUUAAAUAGUUAAAUAUAUUUUUCAGAGUAUUUGAGUAAACUUUACAUUUAAUCCGGACACAUAUUUCUUCACUGUGGAUCAUUUUAACAAUGGAAAGUGCAUAUUUAUAUAUAUUCAUGCAACUGUGUGGUAAAGGAUUCAUCUACCCUUAAAAUGGUUUUCAUAAGGAGAGAAGAUAACAGAAACAGAUGGAAUUGGCAGACCAAAUAAAGAAAAACAAUUUUGUUUAGUUCAAUUUAAAAUACUUAAGUCCUAAUAGGGCACAUGCCAUAUUGUAAUUUGGGCUCUUUAAAAUGUGAAAAGGUGAAUGUGGUCUAGAGGAUAAGUCUAGGUGUCAGCCUCAAAUCCAAGGUUGUGGGUUGACGGUUCAAGCCCCACCGAGAUACUUUCUGAUGGCCUCAGAAAAAGGAUGUCUGUACUAGUUUCUACUAAGGCUACAGACUUGAGAGUGAUUAUGCAAGCUUUCAACUUGUGUAGCAAUCUAGCUGAAAUGAUUAGGUUUAAAAUAAGAUA